GAUGAACGCUGGCGGCGUGCCUAAUACAUGCAAGUCGAGCGAACAGACGAGGAGCUUGCUCCUCUGACGUUAGCGGCGGACGGGUGAGUAACACGUGGAUAACCUACCUAUAAGACUGGGAUAACUUCGGGAAACCGGAGCUAAUACCGGAUAAUAUAUUGAACCGCAUGGUUCAAUAGUGAAAGACGGUUUUGCUGUCACUUAUAGAUGGAUCCGCGCCGCAUUAGCUAGUUGGUAAGGUAACGGCUUACCAAGGCAACGAUGCGUAGUCGACCUGAGAGGGUGAUCGGCCACACUGGAACUGAGACACGGUCCAGACUCCUACGGGAGGCAGCAGUAGGGAAUCUUCCGCAAAGGGCGAAAGCCUGACGGAGCAACGCCGCGUGAGUGAUGAAGGUCUUCGGAUCGUAAAACUCUGUUAUUAGGGAAGAACAAAUGUGUAAGUAACUAUGCACGUCUUGACGGUACCUAAUCAGAAAGCCACGGCUAACUACGUG
rnacentral:rRNA from 1 species